rnacentral:misc_RNA from 1 species
GAUGAAGAACGUAGCGAAAUGCGAUAAGUAAUGUGAAUUGCAGAAUUCAGUGAAUCAUCGAAUCUUUGAACGCACAUUGCGCCCGCCAGUAUUCUGGCGGGCAUGCCUGUCUGAGCGUCAUUUCAACCCUCAUGCCCCUAGGGCGUGGUGUUGGGGAUCGGCCAAAGCCCGCGAGGGACGGCCGGCCCCUAAAUCUAGUGGCGGACCCAUCGUGGCCUCCUCUGCGAAGUAGUGAUAUUCCGCAUCGGAGAGCGACGAGCCCCUGCCGUUAAACCCCCAACUUUCCAAGGUUGACCUCAGAUCAGGUAGGAAUACCCGCUGAACUUAAGCAUAUCAAUAAGCGGAGGA